ACCAAACUUACUGUUCUUUGAAUUCUCAAAUAAUUUUUCUUGAGCACGCCCAUAACAUGUGACCAGUACAGCAAAACUGUUAUCUGAAUCCUCAUCACUCUGGAAUUCAGGUCCAUGAGGCUCCAACCAUCCAAUGGAAUAAUCAGAAUCAUCAGACUCAGACCCUGAAAAACAACCACCAUCAGAUGGCACGAGAACAGCAUCGUAUUCCUUGUCAAAUUUCCUCUCCUCCCGGCUAUGCCAUUUUCGCUU
rnacentral:misc_RNA from 1 species